rnacentral:rRNA from 1 species
AGAGUUUGAUCAUGGCUCAGGAUUAACGCUUGCGAUGUGCCUAAGGUAUGCAAGUCGAACGAUUCCUGUAUCUUCGGAUACAGGGAGUGGCAAACGGCUGAGUAACGCGUAGGAACCUACCCCAAACUCGAGUAUAGCCCCGCGAAAGCGGGGGUAAUCCUCGAUAGUCCGUGAAGUAUUUUGCUUCACGGUAAAGCUUUUGCGGUUUGGGAUGGGCCUGCGUCCUAUCAGGUAGUUGGUGAGGUAAAUGCUCACCAAGCCUAUGACGGGUAGCUGGUCUGAGAGGAUGGUCAGCCAGACUGGGACUGCGACACGGCCCAGACUCCUACGGGAGGCAGCAACUAGGAAUUGUGCGCAAUGGACGAAAGUCUGACGCCGCGACAUCGCGUGGAGGAUGAAGGUCUUCGGAUUGUAAACUCCUUUUCUUACCGAACAAGUUCUGAGUGUAGGUAAGGAAUAAGUGCCUGCUAACCACGUGCCAGAAGCAUCGGUAAUACGUGGGGCACGAGCGUUAUCCGGAUUUACUGGGCGUAAAGAGAAGCGUAGGCGGCUCGAUAAGUUUGGUGUUAAAUCUUCCGGCUCAACCGGAAACAAGCACCGAAAACUAUCGAGAUUGAGUCGAGUAGGGAAGAGGGGAAUUCCUGGUGGAGCGGUUAAAUGCGUAGAUAUCAGGAGGAAUACCAAGGGCGAAGGCACCUCUUUGGACUCGUACUGACGCUGAGGCUCGAAAGCGUGGGUAGCAAAACGGAUUAGAUACCCGUGUAGUCCACGCCGUAAACGAUCCCUGUUAGAUGUAUGUUUUGUCUGUUUAUUUUUCCUUCGGGAAGGGUAAAGGGCAAGAUGUGUGUCGUAGUUAACGCGUUAAACAGGGCGCCUGGGAAGUACGGCCGCAAGGCUAAAACCCAAAGGAAUUGACGGGGACCCGCACAAGCAGUGGAGCGCCUGGUUUAAUUCGAUGGUCAGCGAAGAACCUCACCUAGGCUUGAACUGUAGCUGCACGCUCCCAGAAACGGGAGAAUCCUUCGAGGGUGCUACAGAGGUGCUGCAUGGCUGUCGUCAGCUCGUGUCGUGAGAUGUAGGGUUAAGUCCCACAACGAGCGCAACCCCUAUUCAGUGUUAUAAUUACUCUGAAGACUGCCCUGUCCAAACGGGGAGGAAGGAGGGGACGACGUCCAGUCAUCAUGUCCCUUAUGUCUAGGGCUACACAGACGCUACAAUGGCCGGUACAAUGGGUUGCCAAACCGCGAGGUGGAGCCAAUCCCAUCAAAGCCGGUCCCAGUUCGGAUUGCAGUCUGCAACUCGACUGCAUGAAGUUGGAAUUGCUAGUAAUCGCGAAUCAGCACGUCGCGGUGAAUACGUUCUCGGGUCUUGUACACACCGCCCGUCAGGGCACGGGAGUCGCUCUUGCUCGAAGUUCCCGAAUAAUUCGGGACCGAAAGUUAAGGGUGGCAACCAGGCUUAAGUCGUAACAAGGUAACC